rnacentral:misc_RNA from 1 species
GAUGAAGAACGUAGUGAAAUGCGAAAAGUAGUGUGAAUUGCAGAAUUCAGUGAAUCAUCGAAUCUUUGAACGCACAUUGCACCUCUCGGUAUUCCGGGAGGUAUGCCUGUUCGAGCGUCAUUUGUACCCUCAAGCUCUGCUUGGUGUUGGGUGUUUGUUCCGCCUCUGUGUGUGAACUCGCCUCAAAACAAUUGGCAGCCGGCGUACUUGUUUCGGAGCGCAGCACAUUUUGCGAUCCAGAUCAACGUACAGCGGCAUCCAAGAAGCCUUAUUUAACGCUCUUGACCUCGGAUCAGGUAGGGAUACCCGCUGAACUUAAGCAUAUCAAUAAGCGGAGGA